UACGAAGGGGGCUAGCGUUGCUCGGAAUUACUGGGCGUAAAGGGCGCGUAGGCGGCACUGUUAGUCAGGCGUGAAAGUCCUGGGCUCAACCUGGGAACUGCGCUUGAUACGGCAGAGCUAGAGGAUGGAAGAGGGUCGCGGAAUUCCCAGUGUAGAGGUGAAAUUCGUAGAUAUCAGGAGGAACACCGGUGGCGAAGGCGGCUCUCUGGACGAUAACUGACGCUGAGACGCGAAAGCGUGGGGAGCAAACAGG
rnacentral:rRNA from 1 species